GCGACCCUAAAAAUGUCCCCUAGCAGCAGACAUCGUACGCCUCCGCCGCCAGCCCACAAUGGAGUCCCGGCCGCCGGCUCCCCGACGCUCUUCGCCUCCCCGAAAGGCCGUAUCUCACCACCGUCACGUACUCGCCGGCUCUUCGCACCUCCGAGGUCUCAGCUCUCCCAAAGAUCCUCUCCAACUCGGAGUUCCUCGCGUAGGGAACCGGCUCACACUGGCGUGCGGAGGCGAGGCAUGCCGCCGCUCCUCCGACCAGCCAACCAUAGCGGCGUGGCUCCUCUGACAAGCGGAGGGGCUCUCCUCUCCCACUGGCCGACCUCGACUUCGACUCCUACAGCUGCACUUCGACUUCAGGUCACACUAGCCAGCAUUCUCCGUCGCCAAAUCUUAACCACACCGAGUUCCACCGACAUCAUCGUGAAUCUCCAAUCAGAUAAGUCAGCCUUCAUGUGUAUCGCCCUUUAUAUCUCCACUUUGUUCCUCUUUGUUUUGAUAUAUAUCUCCACUCUGUUCUGAUUGUCAGGAAGAAGGUGGAUUGGUGGCCGUUUCCAGUAUGUACAUGGGACGACAACGGCUGUUCCUUGGUUGAAGGAUGCAAUGCAGCUCGCUGAAUUCCAAGUUGUACUAUUUUGGGUCUGCCUAGAUACCCAAACAGGGGAGAUAAAAGCUGCAAGUUGGGAAGAAAAGCCAGGGAUGAUUCUCAGUGGUACUCUUUACUUGGACUUGCAGCCAAUAUAAAGAGAAGGAGAUUUUUCUUCCAAAUGCUAUAGUUACACUUCACAUCAUUGGGAUCGUGGAUGUUGAUACCAAUUGGAUGUGCUCCCGUGUUGUCCCAAGUGAAGCAAUUUCUCGCUGAUGCGUCAGGCAAAUAAUUUUUUCCCCAAAAGGCAAAGAUACAUAGCUAGCAGUUUAUCUGCGGAUGACUCUUGCUUUGUUGAUUGUUGUGCUUAAUCAAUAUCCAUACAGGACUGAACAGUAUCAGGCCAUCGACCUCACCCUGGGAGUCCACUUCUUCACAGUCACGACAUCCACCUUGACAAAUUAUCUGGAGCAGUUGAGUUCCAGAGACGAAUGGGGAUUGGGGAGGUGAACUUUGAGCUGGAGCUCUCUAUGUGUUCUUGCAAUCACAACGCCGGGGGAUUAUAAGACAACAUACAGUUUGUUCAUUUUCUUUUAGAGUUCAUUCGUCGCAAGGAAAAAAUCUACUUGCUGCCUGAGAACCAAAGCCACAACAGAUCAAGUUACUUGGUCGGAAGAAAUUGUCAAGGGCUGCAGCUUACACAUGAUUGGGAGUGGCGAUCUUAGUCUAUCUCACCUGAGUUACAUGUCAUAAAAAAAGUAGUAUAGAUGUAGAACAACCUACAGUAUAAUGGUACGUCUCAACUAUCUGUCAUAUGUCUUACUAACAUACCUUUUUUUGAACCGGUCUUAUUAUUAUACUUUUUUUGAAGCGGUCUUACUAUUAUACUUUGUAGUGCUUAUAAUUAACGAGUGAUAGAUUCUGAGGUGUACUACUGUUGAUGUGACCAAGGAUGUCCAGUUUUACUUGA